UGCUCUGGUGGCCUAGUGGUUAGAGCGUCCGCUUCAGAUGCGGAUUUCGUGGGUUCAUUCCCCGGUGGAGUCA